CAGUAUAGGCAGGUCAGACACCAGACAGACAGAACAGGGCACUAGGUCUAUCUAUCAGUAUAGGCAGGUCAGACACCAGACAGACAGAACAGGGCACUAGGUCUAUCUAUCAGUAUAGGCAGGUCAGACACCAGACAGACAGAACAGGGCACUAGGUCUAUCUAUCAGUAUAGGCAGGUCAGACACCAGACAGACAGAACAGGGCACUAGGUCUAUCUAUCAGUAUAGGCAGGUCAGACACCAGACAGACAGAACAGGGCACUAGGUCUAUCUAUCAGUAUAGGCAGGUCAGACACCAGACAGACAGAACCGGGCACUAGGUCUAUCUAUCAGUAUAGGCAGGUCAGACACCAGACAGAACAGGGCACUAGGUCUAUCUAUCAGUAUAGUCAGGUCAGACACCAGACAGAACAGGGCACUAGGUCUAUCUAUCAGUAUAGGCAGGUCAGACACCAGACAGAACAGGGCACUAGGUCUAUCUAUCAGUAUAGGCAGGUCAGACACCAGACAGAACAGGGCACUAGGUCUAUCUAUCAGUAUAGGCAGGUCAGACACCAGACAGAACAGGGCACUAGGUCUAUCUAUCAGUAUAGGCAGGUCAGCCACCAGACAGACAGAACAGGGCACUAGGUCUAUCUAUCAGUAUAGGCAGGUCAGACACCAGACAGAACAGGGCACUAGGUCUAUCUAUCAGUAUAGGCAGGUCAGCCACCAGACAGACAGAACCGGGCACUAGGUCUAUCUAUCAGUAUAGGCAGGUCAGACACCAGACAGAACAGGGCACUAGGUCUAUCUAUCAGUAUAGGCAGGUCAGACACCAGACAGACAGAACAGGGCACUAGGUCUAUCUAUCAGUAUAGGCAGGUCAGACACCAGACAGAACAGGGCACUAGGUCUAUCUAUCAGUAUAGGCAGGUCAGACACCAGACAGAACAGGGCACUAGGUCUAUCUAUCAGUAUAGGCAGGUCAGACACCAGACAGACAGAACAGGGCACUAGGUCUAUCUAUCAGUAUAGGCAGGUCAGCCACCAGACAGAACCGGGCACUAGGUCUAUCUAUCAGUAUAGGCAGGUCAGACACCAGACAGACAGAACAGGGCACUAGGUCUAUCUAUCAGUAUAGGCAGGUCAGACACCAGACAGACAGAACAGGGCACUAGGUCUAUCUAUCAGUAUAGGCAGGUCAGACACCAGACAGAACCGGGCACUAGGUCUAUCUAUCAGUAUAGGCAGGUCAGACACCAGACAGACAGAACAGGGCACUAGGUCUAUCUAUCAGUAUAGGCAGGUCAGACACCAGACAGACAGAACAGGGCACUAGGUCUAUCUAUCAGUAUAGGCAGGUCAGACACCAGACAGACAGAACAGGGCACUAGGUCUAUCUAUCAGUAUAGGCAGGUCAGACACCAGACAGAACAGGGCACUAGGUCUAUCUAUCAGUAUAGGCAGGUCAGACACCAGACAGAACAGGGCACUAGGUCUAUCUAUCAGUAUAGGCAGGUCAGACACCAGACAGAACAGGGCACUAGGUCUAUCUAUCAGUAUAGGCAGGUCAGACACCAGACAGACAGAACAGGGCACUAGGUCUAUCUAUCAGUAUAGGCAGGUCAGACACCAGACAGACAGA